ACCAGCCUGGUCUGAAGUAUCUGUUCUGUUUACCCACUUGUCAUGCAACACUUGGGAGACCAGCAAGUCAAAGUCAAGGUCCUACACUCAGGCACAGCAUGUCUUGUGCCAAUAUGUUGUCCUCUCUCCACUACUGGAAACCCUUGUGAUCUUCAUCUCUCAUCGCCAAACAUGAACUCUGUUAUCAGCCACUCCAAACACCUCUUCGGGUCCUUUUGUAUUGGUUACCAUUAUUUUUAAUCCUCUUUUUCUUAAUUUUAACUUCAGUUUUGUGCAAGUGCUAGCACAGUGGAGGCAUCUCACAAGCUAGCCUGUUUCCAUGCCCAGAGCCCUCAGAUGCAUCUCCUGACCAAGCUCUUACCAUGUCCCGGACCUUGCUGAGUGCUGCGGUGGGAGCUGCUGAUACAGGACCACAUGGCAGCAGGUCAUGGGGAGGCCGACCGGGCAGUUAGAUGGUCUCGUGAGAAGCAGCACGUCUGUGCUAGGACUGGCCGCCUGUGAUGUGAAGAUGUGACCUGCAGUUUUCAAAGGCUUUUGAUCAGUGGAGGGGUUUAAAAAAAAAAAAUAGGACAGAAGCGUGGAAAAUGUUAACUUGUAAUAUGUAUUUUUACUACACUUUUCUUAAAAAUAGAGUAAUGGUAAAACUCUUAAAGACAUUGACAUUUUUUCUCAACAGGAGUCCAUAUUUAACAGUUUUGGCUUUCAUUAAAUUUUGCUCUUUGGUAUCUGGAUCUUUUAUUUAACAGCUAUAUUUGUUUUAACUCUCUUUUGUUUUUUCUUUAUUUUGGCAGUACUGCAAAGGAUUUUACUUUGUCAAAUGCAACAGUGUUUUUAUUUUCACUCUCUAUUUUUUCAAGCAGCAUUUUAAUUGGUAAUUAUUAUUUACACAAAAAUGAAACUAUCAACUGGAAUUUUAACACCAAGGAUCCAUGAUCCAUUUUUCAUACCUGUCCAUGCCGUUUUGUGCCAGUGCUGGAUGUGUGGAAAUGAAAAUGAUGUUACCCCUCAGGCAAUAUUACCCAACCUGAAUCAAACAAGCUUUCCUUGAUUAUUGCUGUGUCUGACUUGUGAACAGCAGCCAAAUAAACUGCUUCAGGUUGAAA